GGUAGCGUGGCACUAGUGUCAGCCUGGACGGUGGUGGUGUGCCAGUGUGGCGGCAGCGGGGGAUGUACGGAGGCUCUGUUAGUGAUGGCUAGUGGCGGGUGUGGAGUGCGGGUUGAGAGCUGUGAGGCACGGCGCGAGGAAUAGUGCGUGUGUAUGAGUGUUGGUGUGGUGGUGCGUGUUGUGUGGCGCGUGAUCUUUACUGUGCAAUACAAGCUAUUCUUACUACCAUUAUCUUGUAUGUUGUGAAGAUCUUAAAAAAAAAAAAAAAAAAUAGAAAAUAAAUUGGUUGGUGCUACAGUUUGAUGAAUGAAAUGGCAAACCUCGUCAUGUUAGCGAAGAGAUGCGGGUAGGACGCUGUGCGCACAUGGUUAUGUCAAGAGGUUGCUGAUUUUAUGUGCAAUGCAGGUGACCAUCUGGCGGCGAGGACCCAUCUGUGGUGUGCAUCGUGUGUGGUGCUUGUAGUUUGUGACGUACAGGCGUCUGGCACACUGCCCCGCCCAUGGUCCCCGAUGAACAACUGAGGCCACGCAACUCCGCAACACCGAUGGGACUUGCCUAUCACUGAGGACUCCUACAACGCCCGGCAGCUGAAGGAGUGAAAAGCAGUGUUUCCAUGUGACCCAGCAGUUCUUGGGCGACCAUCAUUUGUGAAUGUACUUAAUCCUGGUGCAAGAUAAUUGACUGGAGUUUGUCAGGCACAUCAACACACCCCUUACCUGCCUGUCUUCUCCCAUUCUCCCUCUCCUCUCCUCCUUCCCAUCUCUCUCUCUCUCUCUCUCUCUCUCUCUCUCUCUCUCUCUCUCUCUCUCUCUCUCUCUCACCGUUGUGCUAAAUAGUUUGCCUUGUCAAGGAAAAAUCUGGUGAAAAGUAUUUUUUUUUCAACGAACUUAGCAAAGUUUUAUGGAAAUUACAAACUGCUUUGCAUGGAAGUUUUGCCCAGUGAUGGUUGACAGUCUUAGCAGCUGAGAAAAAUGGAGCCACAGGAGGAGGAGCGACCGCCAGGGAAACAGCCUAAGGAUGGAGUCACAUCGGUCAGUGUUACAUGGCUGCUCACGGCGCGGCAACACACGGGAAGGCUUUUAUCAGUGCAUGCAAGCUGAUAGUGCCACUCCUACCCGUGCAGCGACGACGAGGAGGAGGAAAACAAGAACAAGAACAAGAAGAGCAAGAACAAGAACAAUAACAAGAAAAAGGAGAGAGAGAGAGAGAGAGAGAGAGAGAGAGAGAGAGAGAGA